UCAGUGGAGGGAAGGACAAAGUGAUCAAAGUAUGGAGAAGAUAAAAGCAGUGAUCUCCGUGAGCACAAUAGCAAAUAAAAGUAGUACACGUUC